AUUGAGCGCUGGCGGAAUGCUUUACACAUGCAAGUCGAGCGGCAGCACGGACUUCGGUCUGGUGGCGAGUGGCGAACGGGUGAGUAAUGUAUCGGAACGUGCCCAGUCGUGGGGGAUAACGUAGUGAAAAUUACGCUAAUACCGCAUACGAUCUAUGGAUGAAAGCGGGGGAUCGCAAGACCUCGCGCGAUUGGAGCGGCCGAUAUCAGAUUAGGUAGUUGGUGGGGUAAAGGCCCACCAAGCCAACGAUCUGUAGCUGGUCUGAGAGGACGACCAGCCACACGGGAACUGAGACACGGUCCAGACUCCUACGGGAGGCAGCAGUGGGGAAUUUUGGACAAUGGGCGAAAGCCUGAUCCUGCCAUUCCGCGUGCAGGAUGAAGGCCCUCGGGUUGUAAACUGCUUUUGUACAGAACGAAAAGGUUUCUACUAAUACUAGGAGCUCAUGACGGUACUGUAAGAAUAAGCACCGGCUAACUACGUGCCAGCAGCCGCAGUAA
rnacentral:rRNA from 1 species